GGGAACGGAGGGGGAGCUCGGACGGGACCAGUGCUGGAGCCCUGCGGAGCCUCCUCUUGCAGCACCGGGCCCCGCCGGCUGCCGGGGGGAUAAAGACUCGAGAAGCAGCCCAUGCCACCAGGAUUCUGGCCAUUGAUGACAGUUACACAUGCCGUGUGAGACCACAGCCACUGGAUAAUUAACCAGAUAGAGACCAGAUGGGUGAGCACAGACCCCAGACACCAAAGAAGGCAAGUCAUGGACACAAGCAGAGCUGUAUGCUGGUUUUAAUGUUCCUAAGAACUAGGAAACAGAAAUCAAAAAUAGACUUUGCUCUUCUUGAUAAAAGUAAUAAAAUGGUUAGCGGUGUUAAAUUAAUCCUUACAAAACAAAACCCAAGGAGGUUAAAUAAAGCCCGGAGGCUCCGCAUAAAAACCACGACUACAAAACAGCUGCAAAGACGUCUUUACACACCAAAGAAACUCCUCCACUCCUCC